AUUGAACGCUGGCGGCAUGCCUUACACAUGCAAGUCGAACGGCAGCACGGGAGCAAUCCUGGUGGCGAGUGGCGAACGGGUGAGUAACGCAUCGGAACGUGCCCAGUCGUGGGGGAUAGCCCGGCGAAAGCCGGAUUAAUACCGCAUACGACCUAUGGGUGAAAGCGGGGGACCUUUCGGGGCUCCGCGCGAUUGGAGAGGCCGAUGGCAGAUUAGGUAGUUGGUGGGGUAAAGGCCCACCAAGCCGACGAUCUGUAGCUGGUCUGAGAGGACGACCAGCCACACUGGGACUGAGACACGGCCCAGACUCCUACGGGAGGCAGCAGUGGGGAAUUUUGGACAAUGGGCGCAAGCCUGAUCCAGCCAUGCCGCGUGCGGGAAGAAGGCCUUCGGGUUGUAAACCGCUUUUGUCGGGGAAGAAAUGCUCCGGGAUAAUACCCUGGGGAGAUGACGGUACCCGAAGAAUAAGCACCGGCUAACUACGUGCCAGCCGCCGCGGUAAAAC
rnacentral:rRNA from 1 species